GGUCCUUAGAUUUUUUUAGAAAUUGUGAAAGCAGAAAUAUGCCAAUCAUGUCAUCAAUCUGUGCGUGUGUGUGCGUGUGUGUGACAGGAAACAGGAAGGAUAAUGAGGAUUAGGCUCUAAAGUACAUGCCCGGUAUGUUGAGGACGAGCCAGCUUGAGAAAAUGAUGAGUAAAGAAGAGCUGCAGGAAGAACAGAGGGUUCAGCAGGAGCAGCUCGCCGCAAUCUUCAAGCUACUUAAAGAAAACCAGGACACGUUUGGAGAGGUGACGGAAAAAGACAUGGAGGAACAGCUUAAGCUUUACUCAAUCUGAAAAGAACUGCACCAAACACUGCUCUGGCAAUAUGGACACGAAACGUUAUCACUAAUACUUAUUGUUAAUGCUGUUCAGAAGUGUGGGUCCUGAAUAUGUCCUGAAGUCUGGACUUUUUAUGGAUGUGAGGUAAAAAAUGUAUUUAAUAAAGGUAAAUGUGUAUUAGAAUUAAACUGCACACAAUUCGCACAGUAAAACAUUGUAGUAAAAUA